AUUUGCAGGAUGAUAAUCGAAGAUGUUGGAGAUGCGAAUCGUAGCUCUUACAGAGGAUUUGCUGAAGAAGAGAGAGAAAACGGGAAGAAGAGAGAGAAAGAAAAUCUGAAAAUGGGGAAGAAAGGGGAAGUCAUUCAAAGGUCUAUUUUUCAACCUUUGGAGUUGCUCUAAAUAAAAUAUUGUACUUCGUAUUAGAUUUAAAUAUUUACUAUGUACAUUAUAGUGGUUAGUAUAAAAGAGAGUAGUUAUGAAAUUAAUAAAUCAAUGAUAUAUAUGUAUCUAUGUCUCUAUGAGAAAUAUAUUUUUUAAGGGAUGUUAGACAAUUGAAAUGUAGGUAGAUAUAUGCCUAAGAUAAAAUGUCAUAUUCUAAUUAUGUAUCAUAAGUUAUAAAUUGUAUGGUUUAACCAUUUGACUAAAGUAUCUACCUUUUUUUUAUUAAAUUGAUUAAAUAUAUAUCAAAUGCAGAACUAAAAAAUGACGUUUUCUAUAUUUGUUAGAUUGAUUAAAAUUAUUUUUCAUGUAUUUCAUUGAAGAUUUAUUUCGAAAUAGCCCGUCAUUAUAUUUAUGUUAUUCAAAUUUUCAUGCUAAAGAUGUACAACCUGGGUUUUUUUUUUUUUUUUUUAAUUUUAGUUUCCCUAUUUAUUUGUAUUUAUAUUCCAUUCAUUUUUCCCUCAUAAAUAUAUUCUAUUCAUUUAAUACAAUUUUUGCUAUUUUUUUUAAUGGUUAUAUUUCCUUUUAUUGCUAGUUUGAAUUCUCCUUUUUUUUUUCUUGCUUGAUUGGUGCUUGAUUGAAAUUGUGCAUUGAUUACUUGCUUUUAAGUAGGUAUGAUGUGGCAUAGGUGAGAAGUGAGUAUUGGGGGUUUUCUCACCUCUCAUUAACGGCUAAAUAUACGUUGAUAAUAAUUAUUCGGCAAUAUGUACCUUCAUUAAACCUAACGACAUCAUUUUCCCAUUUGAAGUUGACUUGUUAAGAGUGCAAAAUAAAAGAAAAUACGGAGAAGAAUAUGAGCUGUACACAAAAAAUAUAUUUAAAAUGAAAAUACACGCCUGGGUAAAAUUGUAAAAUCAGUUUCCUCCGUAUUCUUCGUUAAAAAAAAAACAAA